rnacentral:rRNA from 1 species
GGCUCAGGAUGAACGCUAGCGGCAGGCUUAACACAUGCAAGUCGAGGGGCAGCAUGACACGGAGAUUCGUCGAAGUGUUGAUGGCGACCGGCGCAAGGGUGCGUAACGCGUGAGCAACUUGCCCGUUUCUGGGGAAUAACCGGUGGAAACGCCGACUAAUACCCCAUAGUAUAACGAAGAGGCAUCUUUUUGUUAUUAAAGAAUUUCGGAAACGGAUAGGCUCGCGUGACAUUAGCUAGAUGGCGGGGUAACGGCCCACCAUGGCAACGAUGUCUAGGGGUUCUGAGAGGAAGGUCCCCCACACUGGAACUGAGACACGGUCCAGACUCCUACGGGAGGCAGCAGUGAGGAAUAUUGGUCAAUGGUCUGACGACUGAACCAGCCAUGCCGCGUGAAGGUCACGGCCCUAUGGGUCUUAAACUUCUUUUGUAAGGGAGCAAUAAGUCUCACGUGUGGGAUGAUGAGAGUACCUUACGAAUAAGCAUCGGCUAACUCCGUG